UCCGUAGGCGGGCAAUUAAGUCAGAGGUGAAAUCCCACAGCCCAACUGUGGAACUGCCUUUGAUACUGGUUGUCUUGAGUUAUAGUGAAGUAGAUAGAAUAUGUAGUGUAGCGGUGAAAUGCAUAGAUAUUACAUAGAAUACCGAUUGCGAAGGCAGUCUACUAACUGUAUACUGACGCUAAUGGACGAAAGCGUGGGGAGCGAACAGGAUUAGAUACCCUGGUAGUCC
rnacentral:rRNA from 1 species